GACGAACGCUGGCGGCGUGCCUAAUACAUGCAAGUCGACCUUAGUGGCGAACGGGUGAGUACCACGUGGGUAACCUGCCCAUCCGCAGGGGAUAACACUUGGAAACAGGUGCUACUACCGUAUACGGAUGGCUGGACCCGCGGUGCAUUAGCUAGUUGGUGAGGUAACGGCUCACCAAGGCCACGAUGCAUAGUCGACCUGGGAGCGUGAUCGGACACAUUGGGACUGAGACACGGCCCUAACUCCUACGGGAGGCAGCAUGAGGGAAUCGUAGGCAAUGGACGAAAGUCUGACCGAGCAACGCCGCGUGAGUGAAGAAGGUUUUCGGAUCGUAAAACUCUGUUGUUAGAGAAGCGGUAUCUAACCAGAAAGCCACGGCUAACUACGUGCCAGCCGCCGCGGUAAUAC
rnacentral:rRNA from 1 species